UGCACGGUGGCGCAGUUGGUAGCACACUGCAGCAAGAACGUCCUGGGUUCGAUUCCCGGCCGGAGGUCUUUCUGCAU